rnacentral:lncRNA from 10 species
AGUGUCGGGAGGGGAAGAUGACUUAACCUGUGAAACCGCGCUGGUCAUACAAACACAUUUUCCAAGGUUGCUCUCUGUCCUUCUCAACCAACCCUCGGAUUUUAUCACUAGACUAAGAGAAUGGAGAUUUGUAUGGAGGGCAAAUUUAUUGAGUUACUUCUGAGAAAUCAUCAGGGAACAAAGGACACAAAAGAAAGCGAAAGCU